AGUUUGAUCCUGGCUCAGGAUGAACGCUAGCUACAGGCUUAACACAUGCAAGUCAGGGGGCAGCGGGAAGGGAGCUUGCUUCCUUUGCCGGCGACCGGCGCACGGGUGAGUAACGCGUAUCCAACCUUCCCCUUAGUAGAGGAUAGCCCGGCGAAAGUCGGAUUAAUACUCUAUGUUCUUCUUUGAUGACAUCUGAUAUGAAGCAAAGGCUUGCCGCUAAGGGAUGGGGAUGCGUCUGAUUAGGUAGUCGGCGGGGUAACGGCCCACCGAGCCUGCGAUCAGUAGGGGUUCUGAGAGGAAGGUCCCCCCACAUUGGAACUGAGACACGGUCCAAACUCCUACGGGAGGCAGCAGUGAGGAAUAUUGGUCAAUGGGCGCGAGCCUGAACCAGCCAAGUAGCGUGCAGGAUGACGGCCCUAUGGGUUGUAAACUGCUUUUAUGCGGGGAUAAAGUUGGGAACGUGUUCCCUUUUGCAGGUACCGCAUGAAUAAGGACCGGCUAAUUCCGUGCC
rnacentral:rRNA from 1 species